UGGCGGACGGGUGAGUAAUGUCUGGGAAACUGCCCGAUGGAGGGGGAUAACUACUGGAAACGGUAGCUAAUACCGCAUAACGUCGCAAGACCAAAGAGGGGGACCUUAGGGCCUCUUGCCAUCGGAUGCGCCCAGAUGGGAUUAGCUAGUAGGUGGGGUAAUGGCUCACCUAGGCGACGAUCCCUAGCUGGUUUGAGAGGAUGACCAGCCACACUGGAACGGAGACACGGUCCAG
rnacentral:rRNA from 1 species